UACGAAGGGUGCAAGCGUUGCUCGGAAUUAUUGGGCGUAAAGGGUAGGUAGGUGGUAAUAAAAGUCUGGGGUGAAAUCCCUGAGCUCAACUAGGACUGCCUUGGAAACUUUAUUACUAGAGUGCUGGAGAGGUCCGCAGAAUUCCCGGUGUAGCGGUGAAAUGCGUAGAGAUCGGGAGGAAUACCAGAGGCGAAGGCGGCGGACUGGACAGCAACUGGACACUCAACUACGAAAAGCGUGGGUAGCAAA
rnacentral:rRNA from 1 species